rnacentral:rRNA from 1 species
AAUAUUGGUCAAUGGGUGCAAGCCUGAACCAGCCAUCCCGCGUGAAGUACGACUGCCCUAUGGGUUGUAAACUUCUUUUUUAUAGGGAUAAACCUACCCUCGUGAGGGUAGCUGAAGGUACUAUACGAAUAAGCACCGGCUAACUCCGUGCCAGCAGCCGCGGUAAUACGGAGGGUGCAAGCGUUAUCCGGAGUUAUUGGGUUUAAAUGGCCCGUAGGCGGACUUAUAAGUCAGUGGUGAAAGCCUGUCGCUAAACGAUAGAA